rnacentral:rRNA from 1 species
GAUGAACGCUAGCGGCAGGCUUAAUACAUGCAAGUCGAGGGGCAGCAGCUCUGUAGCAAUACAGAGGCUGGCGACCGGCAAACGGGUGCGGAACACGUACGCAACUUACCCAUAACUGGUGAAUAGCCCUCCGAAAGGAGGAUUAAUACAUCGUAACAUAAUGAGAUGGCAUCAUUUUUAUUAUUAUAGCUCUCGGGCGGUUAUGGAUGGGCGUGCGGCUGAUAGGUAGUUGGCGGAGUAAUAGCCCACCAAGCCAACGAUCAGUACUGGUGUGAGAGCACGACCAGUCACACGGGCACU